GAAUUCAGAUAAACUCCGAAUGCCAUGUACUUAUACUCGGGAGUCAGACUGCGAGUGAUAAGAUCCGUAGUCGAAAGGGAAACAGCCCAGACCACCAGUUAAGGUCCCCAAAUAUAUGUUAAGUGGAAAAGGAUGUGGGGUUGCUUAGACAACCAGGAUGUUGGCUUAGAAGCAGCCACCAUUGAAAGAGUGCGUAAUAGCUCACUGGUCGAGUGACCCCGCGCCGAAAAUGUACCGGGGCUAAACAUAUUACCGAAACUGUGGAUGAACCUCUUCGGAGGUUCGUGGUAGGAGAGCGUUCUAAGGGCGGUGAAGUCAGACCGGAAGGACUGGUGGAGCGCUUAGAAGUGAGAAUGCCGGUAUGAGUAGCGAAAGAAGGGUGAGAAUCCCUUCCACCGAAUAUCUAAGGUUUCCUGAGGAAGGCUCGUCCGCUCAGGGUUAGUCGGGACCUAAGCCGAGGCCGAUAGGCGUAGGCGAUGGACAACAGGUAGAGAUUCCUGUACCAGUGCUAAUUGUUUAACCGAUGGGGUGACACAGAAGGAUAGGGAAUCGCACGAAUGGAAAUGUGCGUCCAAGCAGUGAGUGUGAGAAGUAGGCAAAUCCGCUUCUUGCGAAGCAUGAGCUGUGAUGGGGAAGGAAAUUAAGUACGGAAGUUCCUGAUUUCACGCUGUCAAGAAAAGCCUCUAGGAAGAGUAGUACUGCCCGUACCGCAAACCGACACAGGUAGAUGAGGAGAGAAUCCUAAGGUGAGCGAGAGAACUCUCGUUAAGGAACUCGGCAAAAUGACCCCGUAACUUCGGGAGAAGGGGUGCUCUAUUAGGGUGCAAGCCCGAGAGAGCCGCAGUGAAUAGGCCCAGGCGACUGUUUAGCAAAAACACAGGUCUCUGCAAAACCGUAAGGUGACGUAUAGGGGCUGACGCCUGCCCGGUGCUGGAAGGUUAAGAGGAGUGCUUAGCUUCGGCGAAGGUACGAAUUGAAGCCCCAGUAAACGGCGGCCGUAACUAUAACGGUCCUAAGGUAGCGAAAUUCCUUGUCGGGUAAGUUCCGACCCGCACGAAAGGCGCAACGAUCUGGGCACUGUCUCAACGAGAGACUCGGUGAAAUUAUAGUACCUGUGAAGAUGCAGGUUACCCGCGACAGGACGGAAAGACCCCGUGGAGCUUUACUGCAACCUGAUAUGGAAUGUUUGUACCGCUUGUACAGGAUAGGUAGGAGCCGAAGAGACGUGUGCGCUAGCAUACGAGGAGGCAAUGGUGGGAUACUACCCUGGCUGUAUGACCAUUCUAACCCGCCACGCUAAGCGCGUGGGGAGACAGUGUCAGGUGGGCAGUUUGACUGGGGCGGUCGCCUCCUAAAGAGUAACGGAGGCGCCCAAAGGUUCCCUCAGAAUGGAUGGAAAUCAUUCGCAGAGUGUAAAGGCACAAGGGAGCUUGACUGCGAGACUGACAAGUCGAGCAGGGACGAAAGUCGGGCUUAGUGAUCCGGUGGUUCCGCAUGGAAGGGCCAUCGCUCAACGGAUAAAAGCUACCCCGGGGAUAACAGGCUUAUCUCCCCCAAGAGUCCACAUCGACGGGGAGGUUUGGCACCUCGAUGUCGGCUCGUCGCAUCCUGGGGCUGUAGUCGGUCCCAAGGGUUGGGCUGUUCGCCCAUUAAAGCGGCACGCGAGCUGGGUUCAGAACGUCGUGAGACAGUUCGGUCCCUAUCCGUCGCGGGCGCAGGAAAUUUGAGAGGAGCUGUCCUUAGUACGAGAGGACCGGGAUGGACACACCGCUGGUGUACCAGUUGUUCCGCCAGGAGCAUCGCUGGGUAGCUAUGUGUGGCAGGGAUAAACGCUGAAAGCAUCUAAGCGUGAAGCCCCCCUCAAGAUGAGAUUUCCCAUUUCUUCGGAAAGUAAGAUCCCUGAAAGAUGAUCAGGUAGAUAGGUUUGGAGUGGAAGUGUAGCGAUACAUGGAGCGGACAAAUACUAAUCGAUCGAGGACUUAACCAAAA
rnacentral:rRNA from 1 species